rnacentral:rRNA from 1 species
UACGUAGGGGGCUAGCGUUGUCCGGAAUCAUUGGGCGUAAAGAGCGUGUAGGCGGCCCGGUAAGUCCGCUGUAAAAGUCAGAGGCUCAACCUUUGAAUGUCAGUGGAUACUGCCGGGCUAGAGUGCGGAAGAGGCGAGUGGAAUUCCUGGUGUAGCGGUGAAAUGCGCAGAUAUCAGGAGGAACACCAAUUGCGAAGGCAGCUCGCUGGGACGUGACUGACGCUGAGACGCGAAAGCGUGGGGAGCAAACAGG